UUCCCCUAGUAACUGCGAGUGAAGCGGGAAGAGCUCAAAUUUAAAAUCUGGCGGUCUUCUGGCCGUCCGAGUUGUAAUCUGGAGAAGUGUUUUCCGCGUCGGACCGUGUACAAGUCUCCUGGAACGGAGCGUCRUAGAGGGUGAGAAUCCCGUCCAUGACACGGACCACCGAUGCUUUGUGAUACGCUCUCGAAGAGUCGAGUUGUUUGGGAAUGCAGCUCAAAAUGGGUGGUAAAUUCCAUCUAAAGCUAAAUAUUGGCGAGAGACCGAUAGCGAACAAGUACCGUGAGGGAAAGAUGAAAAGCACUUUGGAAAGAGAGUUAAACAGUACGUGAAAUUGUUGAAAGGGAAACGCUUGAAGUCAGUCGCGUCUCACGGAACUCAGCCUUACUUCGGUUUGGUGUACUUUCUGUGUGGACGGGUCAACGUCAAUUUUGGUCGGCGGAGAAAGGUUGAGGGAAUGUGGCGUUGUUUCGGCGACGUGUUAUAGCCCUCUUCCGCAUACGUCGGCUGGGAUUGAGGACCGCAGCGCGCCUUUAAUGGCCGGGGGUUCGCCCUACGUACCGCGCUUAGGAUGUUGGCAUAAUGGCUUUAAGCGACCCGUCUUGAAACACGGACCAAGGAGUCUAACAUGCUUGCGAGUGUUCGGGUGGAAAACCCUUGCGCGUAAUGAAAGUGAAAGUUGGGAGCCUCCGCAAGGGGGUGCACCGACGCCCGGCCCUGAAGUUCUCUGACGGUGCUGCGGUAGAGCACGUAUGUUGGGACCCGAAAGAUGGUGAACUAUGCCUGAAUAGGGCGAAGCCAGAGGAAACUCUGGUGGAGGCUCGUAGCGAUUCUGACGUGCAAAUCGAUCGUCAAAUUUGGGUAUAGGGGCGAAAGACUAAUCGAACCAUCUAGUAGCUGGUUCCUGCC
rnacentral:rRNA from 1 species